UUCAAUAAUGAACUGAAACAAAUCCAAAUUAAUUUUUUUAAACUUUUUGCAGAAGAAAAACAGCUGAGAAUGAUUUUAAGACAGCAAGAGUUCUAUACAUUUUAAUACCAGUCACUUCCACAAUUCCAGAAAAAGAUUUAAAAUGUAUUUAUUUCUACAGAAUAAGGGUCCCUCCUCAAGGAAACUUCAUAAGAAAUAAGCUGAAUCAGAAAACUAUUCUGAGCCUCUGAAGUAUCAGGCUAAGACUCAUCCUGAUCUAAACAGUUUCCGGCAUUUUAAAAAAUAUAAAGGAAAAAAAACAACUUUCUCUGUAUCGUAUUGCCACUUUCUCAUUUCUACUCCUUUAGUCAUCUUAUAAUUUAACUCCUACAAAAUUAAACAGAAAUGAAGAAUACAAUAGACAAACAUCUAUCAAGUCCACAGAUAUCUAGUGUUGAAAUAUAAUCCAAAAAGUAGGGCUUACAUCUAUAUGGACUGUAAAAGUGUCACAUCUGAGCAAGGAAGCAUUUUUUUUCCUGUAUUAUUUAAGAAUACUUUAAUUUCAUUUCUCCUUUCCUUGUCUAGAAUUAUCCAACUCAAGAAUCUUUCUGUAGACAAUCCUGAAGCCUUCCACAAAUGGAGAGGCAGAAAUCUCACCCCCCCCCCCUUUAUAAGCAAAAAGACCCAGCUGUGGAAUCUAUGCAUCCUGCCACUGCCCUGUCAGUAUGACUGAAGGCAGAUGAAACUCCAGGGAUGGGGGUGGGGUGGGGGGGAACUGUUUUCGUUUGGCUCAGAUACCAGCCCACAGCAGCAUUUAAAUGAUUGCUGGAUAAUGAAUCCAAUCAGGCUGUCAAGUGGGAAAGGGGAGAGGAAUCAAAUAAGAUAAUUUGUUUGGAUAAUUUGCCCUGAACGAGUCCAUAUUAAGUUUUAAUUCAUAUCCAAUCAUGGCCAGCAUUUUGGAAGGAAGAAGUGAGAGAGAGAGAGAAAAAAAACAGAAUCCCUUCUGCUCCAACUAUUUGUGCAUUUCUUAAGACAAUUUGAACCUCAUUGAAAUCUCUGUACUUUCCCUUUUAAAGGCAUGCGUCAGCCUUUGAAAUCUCCAAAGAACAAGGCUGAGUAUAAACUCCCUCUGUUUUUGAUUAAAUCUUUUCUGACAGUAGAGAAGAAGAAUGUGGAGUAACACAUGGCAAGCUAGGUAGAUUCCAGCUUCAAAGGCCAUGCUGUUAGUUGAAAGAAACAGCUAGGAUAUAGGAAACAGGGAGUGGGGGGUAGACCGUAGGGCCAUCCUGAGCAUGUAACAGCAUACUAGUUGAGAAAUGCAAUUUGGUUUACAGCCUUUUUUAACAAAAGCAUUCUUCCUAAAUUAGGAUAACAAAAGAGGCCCACAGCCUAAUGGACACUCCCUUUUCCCUAAUUCUAAUUUCAACUCUUGUACUAUCAAUUUGGGAUUUUUCACAUAAGUAGAUGAUCAUUCAUUAAGAGAGGAGUGGGAUACAGAAUUGCCUUAAAGUGGUGCCAACCACAGCAUGACUGAUGAGAAAGUGUGCUGGAAAAUUCAUACUGAGGCACCACCACUAAGAAGGCCCUGCUCCUGAUAUCCAUCAAUAUAGGGACUCCUCUAUAUUUAGAGACACAUCUAAUAGGGAGAGACCACUGAGGCUUAACUUCCUUUUUCAUUUUAAGUGGUAAAAGAACGUACUAACAGAAAACCUGGCACACCUCACUAAAACAGGCAGUUCAUUGUUUUCUGUUCCGGCAAUAUAUGUAGGCAUCCAGCAUUUUCUUGGGAGUUGGAUGAUCUUAACAAAUCCAACAAAUAAAUGAAUCCUAACUGUGACAUGUUUACAUUUUCAAAAUGUCACCAGCCUCUCAAGGAGGUAUUUUGCAAGUUCAUCUUUGAGUAAUAUUUUGGCAACAAACCAGAGAAGACACCUCUACGCCUAUCCUUAAGGAGGGUUAUUUCGUACAUUAAAAACAGCUUGACAUAUUGAUCCCCUGGUACAAGAGAAGCAGGUUGGGGACAGAGCCUCCUAAAGAAAAUCUAUCCAGGGGCCACUAAGAGUUUGACCCUGGCUUAGGGCUUAAUGGCACAUAAUCAAUCAAGCUUAUACAACUCUCGGCCAAGUCCCACAGAAGAAUCUACAAGAGGCAAACCCAUUGUAGCUGGGCCUCCCAGACAUUUUUCGGUUGACAACACAGAUUUAUUGGCAACAGAAUCCCGACAUCUGCGUUUUCAAAGUGCUCUCAUGGCCUGAGAUAAUUCAUGGCGGAGCCCAAGGUCUCACUGACUCCCAACGAGCUUGCUGCGGGAGUAAAUCAGCAGCCAGGAAGGGAAACUUGGGCCCCAGCCGAGAAAAACAAGAGCAGCAGAGAAAACAGUGGGCCGACAGCGACAGCCAAAUAGGCUAGGAGUCCUUCCAUCUGGAAACACCUUUGUUGCCAACUCUUCAGGUGAGACUACAGACCAUGACAAGAUGUGGUUUCAAUAUCGCACAUGAAAUAAACUGAGGAGCCUGCAUAUCAGACGGAGGCAUCAUAAGCACUUUCCUUGCACUGGGUUCCUCCUCAAGUGACACGUGUGGUUUUGUGCAAAUGGAAUCUUUGUUUGCAUCACUGUUGCAGCAGGAAGAAGCCCGGAACUGACUUUCAGCAGUAGGAAGGUGGGUUCUGGCCAAUGGAAAG